UACGUAGGGGGCAAGCGUUGUCCGGAUUUAUUGGGCGUAAAGAGCGUGUAGGCGGCCGCACAGGUCCGUUGUGAAAACUGGAGGCUUAACCUUCAGACGUCGAUGGAAACCGUGCGGCUAGAGUCCGGAAGAGGAGAAUGGAAUUCCUGGGUGUAGCGGUGAAAUGCGCAGAUAUCAGGAAGAACACCCGUGGCUAAGGCGGUUCUCUAGUACGGUACUGACGCUGAGACGCGAAAGCGUGGGGAGCGAACAGG
rnacentral:rRNA from 1 species